AAAAUUCUUCCAGCAAUACUCAUACCCAGCUAGGUCUCUUUCAGCAUCCCUCCAACCCUCAUAUGCUCGGACAAGAGCAAGAUGGUCACUAAAAUCGCGUGAAAAGUGAGCCUUGGCAGCAUCUGCAAGAUCUUUCUUGUCAAGUGGUGUCAAGAAGGGAUCUCGGACACUAAGACCAGCAACAAUAGUUAAUAUCGGGUCCAAACAAUUCAAAAUUGCUCCAAGU
rnacentral:misc_RNA from 1 species